rnacentral:rRNA from 1 species
UACGGAGGGUGCGAGCGUUGUCCGGAAUCACUGGGCGUAAAGGGCGCGUAGGCGGCGCAACAAGUCACUUGUGAAAUCUCCGGGCUUAACCCGGAGCGGUCAAGUGAUACUGUCGUGCUAGAGUGCAGAAGGGGCAACUGGAAUUCUCGGUGUAGCGGUGAAAUGCGUAGAUAUCGAGAGGAACACCUGCGGCGAAGGCGGGUUGCUGGGCCGACACUGACGCUGAGGCGCGAAAGCCAGGGGAGCGAACGGG